CACGUAGGGCGCAAGCGUUGUCCGGAAUCAUUGGGCGUAAAGAGCGUGUAGGCGGUCCGGUAAGUCCGCUGUGAAAGUCGGGGGCUCAACCCUCGAAUGCCGGUGGAUACUGUCGGGCUAGAGUGCGGAAGAGGCGAGUGGAAUUCCUGGUGUAGCGGUGAAAUGCGCAGAUAUCAGGAAGAAUAUCCGUGGCGAAGGCGGGUCUCUGGGCCGAUACUGCGUGAGGAGCGAAAGCCGUGGGGAGCAAACAGG
rnacentral:rRNA from 1 species